AUUGAACGCCGGCGGCAUGCUUUACACAUGCAAGUCGAACGGUAACAGGCCGCAAGGUGCUGACGAGUGGCGAACGGGUGAGUAAUGCAUCGGAACGUGCCCAGUCGUGGGGGAUAACGCAGCGAAAGCUGUGCUAAUACCGCAUACGAUAUAUGGAUGAAAGCGGGGGACCGUAAGGCCCCGCGCGAUUGGAGCGGCCGAUGUCAGAUUAGGUAGUUGGUGGGGUAAAGGCCUACCAAGCCGACGAUCUGUAGCUGGUCUGAGAGGACGACCAGCCACACUGGGACUGAGACACGGCCCAGACUCCUACGGGAGGCAGCAGUGGGGAAUUUUGGACAAUGGGCGCAAGCCUGAUCCAGCAAUGCCGCGUGCAGGAAGAAGGCCUUCGGGUUGUAAACUGCUUUUGUACGGAACGAAACGGUCUGGGUUAAUACCCUGGGCUAAUGACGGUACCGUAAGAAUAAGCACCGGCUAACUACGUGCCAGCAGCCGCGGUAACAC
rnacentral:rRNA from 1 species